CAACACUGCUUCAGUCCUUCCGGCGUGUCAGGAGCAGCUAUUCAGGGCGAAAGGUUGAGAACUCACCAUGACGAGAUUAGCAGGAUCUUACUGUUCAGGAUGAAUGGACAAAAAGAAGUCAUUAAAAUCAACGUAGAUCUCUGCAAAUGGAUGUAACGGGAACACACAAAUCUAAUUUCAGAUACACCUUUUGCUGUGUUAACUGUUAC
rnacentral:lncRNA from 1 species